rnacentral:rRNA from 1 species
ACCCCCGUGGGGGAGGGGGGGGGUCACUGGGAGUCUUUAUUUCUGCUAUUAUAGUGUGAAAAGACGCGGGGGGGGACAAAAGGGAUUUAAAAUCCCCCUGUAAUUCCCCCCCGUUAAUGGAUGAAUAUAAGGGUGGUGGGGGGAUUCUUUGAGUUUUGGGGGGGGGAGGUGGAAAGCUAUUUAUUUUAUCCCCUCGUGGGGGUUAGUGUCGCCCAGGAUAAAAAUUUCAAUGGAGAUGGGGGGGGCCCGCCCCCCACCGGGGGGCAUGUGGUUUUAUUUGGUGGCCAAGGGGAAGGCCUUUCCCGGGGGUGGCAUUUCCGGGGGAUUUCUGGAGUAGGAUUUUUUCCUUUGGGGGAAUGGAAACCAGGUGGCCCAUGCCUGUCCUCAUUUUGUGUUGAGUGUUUUGGGUUAAAUUCCAGAAAAGAGCCAACCCUUUCCUUUUUUCCACGCCCAUUAGGGUGGGCACUUUAAGGAACCCCCCGGUGACAACCCGGAGGAAGGUGGGGAUGAGUUCAAUUCUUCUCCCCCUUACGCCUGGGGCUCCCCAACGGGAACCAAUGGAUGGUACGGAGGGGGGCCUCCCCCAGGGGGAGUUACUUCCAAAAACCCGAUUCUGUUCCGGUUGCCGGUUUCAACUUGGAAAGCGUGAACUGGGAUCCGUUUUUAUUCCCGGAUCGCCAUGCUGCGGUGAAUACGUUCCCGGGCUUUUACACACCGCCCGUCAUACCAAGGGAGCGGCCUAUGCCAGAAGCAGNUACCUNACCUCNUUNNGUUUUCUUAUUGUGUACCG